rnacentral:rRNA from 1 species
AUUGAACGCUGGCGGCAGGCCUAACACAUGCAAGUCGAGCGGAUGAAGGGAGCUUGCUCCUGGAUUCAGCGGCGGACGGGUGAGUAAUGCCUAGGAAUCUGCCUGGUAGUGGGGGAUAACGUCCGGAAACGGGCGCUAAUACCGCAUACGUCCUGAGGGAGAAAGUGGGUGAUCUUCGGACCUCACGCUAUCAGAUGAGCCUAGGUCGUAUUAGCUAGUUGGUGGGGUAAAGGCCUACCAAGGCGACGAUCCGUAACUGGUCUGAGAGGAUGAUCAGUCACACUGGAACUGAGACACGGUCCAGACUCCUACGGGAGGCAGCAGUGGGGAAUAUUGGACAAUGGGCGAAAGCCUGCUCCAGCCAUGCCGCGUGUGUGAAGAAGGUCUUCGGAUUGUAAAGCACUUUAAGUUGGGAGGAAGGGCAGUAAGUUAAUACCUUGCUGUUUUGACGUUACCAACAGAAUAAGCACCGGCUAACUUCGUG